CACACCGUAAACGAUGAUUACUAGGUGUUGGAGGAUUGACCCCUUCAGUGCCGCAGUUAACACAAUAAGUAAUCCACCUGGGGAGUACGACCGCAAGGUUGAAACUCAAAGGAAUUGACGGGGGCCCGCACAAGCAGUGGAGUAUGUGGUUUAAUUCGACGCAACGCGAAGAACCUUACCAAGUCUUGACAUCCCUUGACGAUGCUGGAAACAGUAUUUCUCUUCGGAGCAAGGAGACAGGUGG
rnacentral:rRNA from 1 species